UACGAAGGGUGCAAGCGUUAAUCGGAAUUACUGGGCGUAAAGGGUGCGUAGGCGGUUCGUUAAGUCUGUCGUGAAAUCCCCGGGCUCAACCUGGGAAUGGCGAUGGAUACUGGCGAGCUAGAGUGUGUCAGAGGAUGGUGGAAUUCCCGGUGUAGCGGUGAAAUGCGUAGAGAUCGGGAGGAACACCAGUGGCGAAGGCGGCCAUCUGGGACAACACUGACGCUGAAGCACGAAAGCGUGGGGAGCAAACAGG
rnacentral:rRNA from 1 species